rnacentral:rRNA from 1 species
GGGGUCCGAGUCUGCCUUACGGGUAGAUCU